UGUCCAAUAAUUUAGCUGCUUCCAGGG
rnacentral:sRNA from 1 species